rnacentral:lncRNA from 1 species
GUCUCCGUGCAUGGUCUCUCUUGGUAUUCUGUAAUUUAAAUUGAAAGUUGCUCUAAGUGUAUAAACAGUACCCUUAUAAUAUUAUGUACCAAAGGAAAAUAAGAAUACUAGCAAGAUAAAAUUAACUGCCAGCUUCUAUCCAACAUGUUUAGGAUGACAACAGCACAAGGAAUAUGGUAUCUGGCAUAUGAGGGAGCACCCUGAACAGUGUUCAGGAGGGACUGCCUCAUGUAGCUUUUCUUUUCUGCUCUUCUAAGCUUGUUGAUUAUUUUUCAAGUCAUAAAAUAAAUCCCCAAACUCUUCCCACAGGCUUCCUGUUAUGGCAAUGGAAAGGAUUCUAGGAAAGGAUGCCAACAGGCCAGAUGUCAUCUUUUUUGGUGGGCUGUACACAUCAGACUGGACUUGCCUUAAAUGAGAUUCAGACAAUCCUUUUUGCCAAAUGCCCAACAAGAAAGGAGCAGUUAUGCAGAACUUGUGGUAGAAGGAGGGAAACUGAGGACCUUAGACAUCUCCGUCUGAUGAGUAACUGCUACCAGUCACAGCUUGGAGAGCUGGACACUUCACCACUCAGGUAUGGAAGGUGAAGGCCAUGUUUUUAUCCUAUUAAUUGCUUGUUUUUUAAAAGAAUUGCUGUUUUUGGAUAAAUUGAAAUCAAAGUUUCAAUCUCAGGUCAACAGAUGUCUGAAAAUAACAGCAAGAAAGAAAUGAAAAAGAAUCUCCCACAGAGGUAUGUUAUAUCAUUUCCCCGCAAGUCUUUUAACACAGGGUGGAUGAACAGCUCUCUAGCAUUAUGUGAAUGGGAGGCUGCCUAAAGGAAGGGAAAUGGGUUGGAUAAUUUGGGGACUCCCUCAGCUAAUUUAGAAAAUUCUCUGUUUUUUUCAAUGGUGUGGGUUCUUGGAAGAAAAUGAAGAGCAUGGGGAAGAAUCCUCAAGAGAUUGCAAGCUUUGAUCAAGUGUGCUCCUAAAGGGAAACAUUAAAGACAGUCUUUAAAACAAACAAACAAAAAACAAAUAAAAAGCCUAUUCUGAAAGUCCAUAUUAAAUUCUUAUUUAUAGAUACUAAUAGAUGGUAGCUCAUGGAGUUAGGGGCAAAGAGAGGUGCUUAGGAAAGGUCUGCUUCUAUCAGAAAAGGUAUGAUUUAAAAUAUUAUAAUUUAAUUUUAACCUAAUGCUCUUUUUGCAAAUAUCUUCCACCACCUUCUCUAAACUCAGAGCUCCCUAGUAUAAACAGUUUUCUGUGCUUGUUAUAGUAGAGUUACCUCAGGUCUCCAGGUCUCACUGGCCCAGGGAGGACAACAAAGCCAUUGCCAAACAAAGGUACAGUAAUGCCCAGAAUGCUCAUUGUAUUAAAUUCCUUCCAUCUGAUUAAGAGGACACUGGGGAGUCUCCUUUGUCCUCCUGAAAACCAUGAUGCUCUAUGCCCAUGCUGUAUGGAAUGUAUUAUUUUCUCUUUAAUUCCUAAUACGCUGUUCCCUGAUCACUGCAUUGGCAGCCUUGAGCUCUAAGUUUUCUUUCCUAGAGCUUUUAAAAUGUUUAUUUAUUUGACCCAAACUUUACUAGAGAUUCUAAUUCCAGAUUAAGGGCCUUGACUUCAGUAACCAGAUUCAACAGAUAAAAUACUGGAUCCCCCAUUAAAUUUGAAUUUUAGGUAAACAUUGACU